rnacentral:rRNA from 1 species
AAACUGGGAUUAGAUACCCCACUAUGCCUAGCUUUAAACAUUGACUACUUACAUAAACAAUCCGCCAGGGAACUACGAGCCUCAGCUUAAAACCCAAAGGACUUGGCGGUGCCCUAAACCCACCUAGAGGAGCCUGUUCUAUAAUCGAUAACCCCCGCUUAACCUCACCACUUCUUGCCAAAACCGCCUAUAUACCACCGUCGCCAGCCCACCCCGUGAGGGAGACACAGUAGGCAGAAUGGCCCCCGCCAAAACGUCAGGUCAAGGUGUAGCGUAUGAAGUGGAAAGAAAUGGGCUACAUUUUCUGACUCAGAACACACGGAAGGUCACUAUGAAACCUGACCUAAAGGAGGAUUUAGUAGUAAAGAAAAACAAGAGAGUUCUCUUUAACUCGGCCCUGGGGCGCGCACACACCGCCCGUCACCCUCUUCAACACGCUGCUAUAAAAAUUUUUAAACAAGAUAAGCAAAAAAGAAGAGGCAAGUCGUAACAUGGUAAGUAUACCGGAAGGUGUGCUUGGAAUAA